rnacentral:rRNA from 1 species
AGCAGCCGCGGUAAUUCCAGCUCCAAUAGCGUAUAUUAAAGUUGUUGCAGUUAAAAAGCUCGUAGUUGAAUUUCGAGAUCGGUUUAUUGGUCGUGCUAUUGUACGUACUGGUAUUACCGGUUUCUCCUUUCUGACGAACCAUAAUGCCAUUAAUUUGGUGUUUUGGGAAAUCAGGACUGUUACUUUAGAAAAAAUUAGAGUGUUUAAAGCAAGGCUCACGCUUGAAUACAUUAGCAUGGAAUAACGGAAUAGGACGUUUGAUUCUAUUUUGUUGGUUUCUAGGAUCGACGUAAUGAUUAAUAGGGAUAGUUGGGGGCAUUAGUAUUCAAUUGUCAGAGGUGAAAUUCUUGGAUUUAUUGAAGACUAACUACUGCGAAAGCAUUUGCCAAGGAUGUUUUCAUUAAUCAAGAACGAAAGUUAGGGGAUCGAAGACGAUCAGAUACCGUCGUA